rnacentral:pre_miRNA from 1 species
UUUUCAGUAAAAGUAUGUUUCAUGAAAUAUUGGAAUAUACUCAUUCUAAAA